GUGCAACGAAGGCACCUGGGCUGUCGCCGUCCUUAAGGACGUGCACGCCCAGAGUGCUCUCUCACAUCCAUCUCACCCCUUUGUGCAUCACCGCGUGGGGCCCUCUCUUUUGACUUGUUCCGGAGGGGGGGUUUCACGUUUUUACACAAACAACCCAUUAACGCAUGUGCAGAAUGUCUUACUUUUUGCGGUCACACGCAAUCAAUACAACUUUCAACAACGGAUCUCUUGGCUCU
rnacentral:misc_RNA from 1 species